rfam:Thalassobius maritimus strain DSM 28223 genome assembly, contig: Ga0070000_101
AUGACCGACGCAAAAUUGCCGGAUAUGCAGGCCGGAUGGGAGCAAAUGUGUUCCAAUGUCACCAGCGCGCUGGCAGGUGUGAAUAUGGUCUAUGAGGCCG